rnacentral:misc_RNA from 1 species
AUUUUAGGCCAAUAUAUUCCAAUUCGUCAGCUUGAUUAAAUUUAAUAAUGCAGUCUCUUUGACCUUUAAGGAACCCAUUUACGCAUUGCAAAAGCAAAAUUCAAAAAUUUCAUAGCACGCAUAGAAAUUUCCAACAAUGUCGAUAAACUACCCAUUUGCACAUUUUCUUCUACUACUCUCCAAAAAAUAUUAAAGAGUCUUACCAAAUUCUACUUCACUAGAUCAAGCUUGCAAGUUUCACCCAUGGAUUCUUUUUCUUUUGUCUUCCUCUGUCACAAUAAUAUCACAUAAAUACUCUCUGCUAGGGCUUCUCUUUUAUAGCAUCUUCCUGCAGCACUAGAGAUGAAGCCAAGCAUGUCCUUGAAGACUCAGAACUUGGCCUUGUUGCUUCUUUUUGUUAUUGCCAAUUUCUUGAGCUAUUAUCAUUGUGAGGCAGCAGAUGAAGAUAGUUCUAAACUUGGAGCUUCUUUUAUCUUUGGUGAUUCUCUAGUUGAUGCUGGAAAUAAUAACUAUUUACCAACUCUUUCUAGGGCAAAUAUCCCUCCUAAUGGGAUUGAUUUUAAAUCCUCCGGCGGAAACCCUACCGGUCGAUACACUAAUGGGAGAACCAUUGGUGAUAUUGUAGGGGAAGAACUAGGGCAACCAAACUAUGCUAUCCCAUUUCUAGCCCCAAAUGCCACAGGAAAAGCUAUAUUGUAUGGUGUAAAUUAUGCUUCAGGAGGAGGAGGGAUUUUGAAUGCAACUGGAAGAAUAUUUGUUAAUAGGCUUGGAAUGGAUAUUCAGAUAGACUAUUUCAACAUUACUAGAAAAGAGUUUGACAAAUUGUUGGGUCCAUCAAAGGCAAGAGACUAUAUUAUGAAGCAAUCCAUUUUCUCUAUCACCGUUGGAGCAAAUGAUUUCCUAAACAAUUAUCUACUUCCAGUUCUCUCUGUUGGAGCAAGAAUUACUCAAAGUCCUGAUGCAUUCAUUGAUGAUAUGCUCAAUCACUUAAGAGGUCAACUUACUAGACUAUAUCAAUUGGAUGCUAGAAAAUUUGUUAUUGGAAACGUGGGACCGAUAGGCUGCAUACCUUAUCAAAAGACUAUAAAUCAACUGAAGGAGAAUGAAUGUGUGGGAUUGGCUAAUAAGUUGGCAGUUCAGUACAAUGGCAGAUUGAAGGAUUUGCUUGCUGAAUUAAACGAUAAUCUUCCUGGAGCUACGUUUUUGCAUGCCAAUGUCUUUGAUCUUGUCAUGGAACUCAUCACAAAUUAUGAUAAAUAUGGAUUUACAACAGCAACCAGAGCCUGCUGUGGAAAUGGAGGGCAAUUUGCAGGGAUAAUUCCAUGUGGACCUACUUCAAGUAUGUGCCAAGAUCGGUCCAAGCAUGUGUUCUGGGAUCCUUACCAUCCCAGUGAGGCUGCAAACCUUCUACUUGCCAAGCAACUGCUGGAUGGAGAUAAAAGAUACAUAUCUCCUGUGAAUCUUAGGCAACUAAGAGACCUUUGAUAUUAUAAAUUUCUUGAAUUCUGUUUCUUUGUGUGAACAGUUAUCCAACUUCUUCUUCUUCUUCUAUAUCAACAGCUAGGGUUUUGCUCUAACUAUAUAGUAA